GAUGAACGCUGGCGGCGUGCCUAACACAUGCAUGUCGAGCGAACCCUUCGGGGUGAGCGGCGGACGGGUGAGUAACGCGUGGGUAACCUGCCCUAUACACACGGAUAACGUACCGAAAGGUACGCUAAUACGGGAUAAAGUUGUUGGAUGGCAUCUUCUAACAAUCAAAGCUCCGGCGGUAUAGGAUGGACCCGCGUCCGAUUAGCUAGUUGGUGAGGUAAUGGCUCACCAAGGCGACGAUCAGUAGCCGACCUGAGAGGGUGAUCGGCCACACUGGAACUGAGACACGGUCCAGACUCCUACGGGAGGCAGCAGUGGGGAAUAUUGCACAAUGGGCGAAAGCCUGAUGCAGCAACGCCGCGUGAGCGAUGAAGGUCUUCGGAUCGUAAAGCUCUGUCCUCAAGGAAGAUAAUGACGGUACUUGAGGAGGAAGCCCCGGCUAACUACGUGCCAGCCGCCGCAGUAA
rnacentral:rRNA from 1 species